UACAGAGGGUGCAAGCAUUAAUCGGAUUUAUUGGGCGUAAAGGGCGCGUAGGCGGGAAAAUAAGUCAGGUGUGAAAUCCCAGGGCUCAACCCUGGAACUGCACUUGAAACUGUUUUUCUAAGAGGUUAGGCGGAGAAAAUGGAAUUCCACAAGUAGCGGUGAAAUGCGUAGAUAUGUGGAAGAACACCAGCGGCGAAGGCGGUUUUCUAGCUUAAACCUGACGCUGAGGCGCGAAAGCUAGGGGAGCAAACAGG
rnacentral:rRNA from 1 species